rnacentral:tRNA from 1 species
GGGGCUUUAGCUCAGCGGCAUAAACGCCUGCUUUGUAAGCAGGAAGUCUUGAGUUCAAUUCCCGGUACCCCCC